rnacentral:sRNA from 1 species
GAGGAAAUCAGUGGUGCUUCAGGAUAUUGUGAAUUUGGGCUUCUGAAAGCAGAAUUCUGAUUUAACAGUAUAAUGGAAUUCAUGAAUGUCAUGUUGCUAAUUUGAACCAAUAAGCACCCUUGUGAGAGGAAUCUGCUUUUCCUCAAGUCUGAAGAACACCAGGAGAAUCUUUCUGUAUGGAGUUACCAGGAAUCCUCUGCUAAGGAAAGAGAAAGGGAAGAUGCAAUUUCUCCUGGGAAGGGGGGAUGCUGAUGUAGAGGGUGACAAGUAAUAUGCCAUGAAGGAUUCAGUCACCUGGUUAGAUUUAGAGUUAGAGUUAUGGUUAAGGAAGAAGGAAGGAAAAAAGGCAGAAGAGGAAGAAAGGAAGCAAGAAAAGAUAAAAUUUAUUCUAAGAUAAAAUUUGUGAAUUUUGCUA